rnacentral:lncRNA from 1 species
UUGUAAAUUAAAAUUGCUUUUUAAAUUUACAAGAGAACGAAAUACUUGUUAAUGUAUUUAUAUCAAUCAGCCAAAUUUAAAUAUACUUUUCUUUGCCUUUUUAAUGCAAAUUCUGAAAUAAUCCCAGGCAGCGAGCUGACGUUCACUCACGUCAAUUUGACACCUUUAAAGUCAUCUUACAAUGUUGACUUGGGCGUCACUGAUUAUUUAUUAAUUAUUAAAAAAAUCAACAAUUUUUAGCGAAUAUUAUUUAUGAACCUUGUAGUUGUAAGAGUAAAAAAAGAGUAAAGCCCUGUACAUAAGAUUUAUAUAUAAACAUGAUAAUGCAAAUGAUACAAGUUAUGAGGGUUAUAUACAGGGAGAUUUACGUAGACCAUGCACGUUAGACGUUUUCCAACUUGCUGCUGUUUUAGAAACUUCAAAUUUUGUUUCCGGUCAUAACGAGUCGUGCCGAAACGACGUAAAAUGCAUAAAGGCAUCAAACAAAAAAUACGUAACGAUGACACUGAAACGAAACGAAUGAAAAAGGAUGGUGUAAAAGAUAAGCCAAAACCUCAAGAGAAGCCUGAGGAACUAUUAAAACCCAAACCUCUAGUAGAGAAAAACCAAAAAACCACUCUUUGUGAGCAACAUAUUACCUGGGUGUGAGUGAGGAAAAACAAGACAAUUUUUUUAAACGCUGCAGCUAUAAACAGCAACGGAUCGCAAAGGAAAAUCCAGGUGUUUCGGCUAUGUCGAAUUAUAGGCCUUAUUCUAUGAUCGAAUUCAAAACUGAAUAAGAAGUAAUUGAUUUAAGUGCCACCGAAAGAUGUCUUAAUGGUAGCUUUUCCAAGUCAUAGUGGCCUUGGCUCGGGAUAGGGAUCCGCUGGAUGGACGUCCGAUAUUCAUGUCUGAAAUCAAAGCUAGUAGAACUGAAAGGAAACCCAUAUUUAAACAUGCCACCAACGAAGAGAAGAAUAAACUGUUUGUGCCUGGAUUGCCUAUUAAGAAAUCGAAAGAGGAAAUCCAGGAAAUAUUCCAGAACCAUGGUGCUUAAGAUGUACGUCCAGUCCUGCAUAAGAGUGGACAACCAAAGGGAUUAGCAUAUAUCGAAUUUGAAAGUGAACAACAAGCAAAAGUGGCCUUAAAGCACACAGCUCAAAUGGAUAUAGACGAAUACGUAAUUACGGUGGCACUAAGCGCUCCACCGCCCAAAAAUGAAAGACAGAUUUUUGAAGGAACAUUUGAAAAGAAAAACGAUGAACAACCAGCUAGGCUCUGGCUAGGCACCCGAAGAGCCGACUUCAAACAUCUCUAUUGCCCAGCUGGGUCAGUGCAGAUGAAAGGAACAGGAGAAAAUAAGGAACAAGCAAAAAAUGGACAGGAUGGAGCAAAGUUGAAAAGCAACAGCGAAUUUAGAGCGAUGCUUUUAAAUAAAUUAGAUUAGUUGGAAGAGGAAGGAUAUCCACAUAUGCCUUAAGGGAGAGUAUUAAAUAUACUUUUGUAAGUACAUA